UACAGAGGUCUCAAGCGUUGUUCGGAUUCAUUGGGCGUAAAGAGCUCGUAGGCGGUCUGUCGCGUCGGCUGUGAAAACCUGGGGCUUAACUCCGGGCCUGCAGCCGAUACGGGCAGACUAGAGUUCGGCAGGGGAGACUGGAAUUCCUGGUGUAGCGGUGAAAUGCGCAGAUAUCAGGAGGAACACCGGUGGCGAAGGCGGGUCUCUGGGCCGAAACUGACGCUGAGGAGCGAAAGCGUGGGGAGCAAACAGG
rnacentral:rRNA from 1 species